rnacentral:lncRNA from 1 species
AAAAAACUUCUAAAGAUUGAAUUCUGUUUGUACAAACAGAGGACUUAAUUAAUACUGAGCAAAUAACCUAAAAACUUACUUAAGAACAAGAUGAAUGAUCAAACUUAGAAUUUAGAGUAGAAAAGUAAAAAACAAAAGUUAUUAAUCGUUUUAUUUGUUGAUUAGUAUAUUUUGAUUGAUUUAGAAAUCCAUAUAGUAUUU